CAGGGAAGGAGCAGAGCUACUUCUGGAAGGGCUGGAGGUGGUGAAGAGCUCAUCCAAAAACAAGAGGCCUUUUCUUCACUUGAUUCAGCACCACCACCGCUCGGUUGCCAAGGCACCAGCCUUUGAUUCCUGCACUCUGGUUCUAACCACGGUGCCCGAGAGCUCCUGCCCGUGUCCCAGCACUGCCCCGCAGCCGAGCCCUGUGGUGUCCCCGUGGUGCAGAGCCAUCUCCACCACCAAGCCGUGGUGGGCUCCUUCCAGGGCCCGACACCAGGAUCUGCCUUCCAGAUUGGUUCAUUGGGGCAAAAAAAAAAAGGAAAAACAGAGGGCAAAAUUAUGUCUUGCUGCUGUGCGUAUGGGGCUGCUCAACCCGAAUCUCUGCUGGUCUCCUUGCUGAAAGCAGUGGUCAAGAAACCCCUGAAGUGAUGGUGAUGCCACCCUAGACCAGUUAGGAGCAAAGCCGAGGUUGUUUUUGCUUUCCUGCCUGCUCACUGCCUCUCCUACAGCUCCACUGCCUUCACCAGCUGAUGCACAUCUGCCUCAAAUACCCCAAAAUGCCUCAAAUAAAAGCAAAGUCAUUCCUUACUGCCAAAGCCAUUGCCCUGAGUCAACCAUCUUACCUCCUGGACACCCGUCCAUACAUUGCUGCUAAAGCUUCCAACAUAAAUACCUCCAAAUUCAAGCCUUAUCGGUGGAAAAAGAUGUUUCUGCUUUUCGGUUUUACCAUCAGAAAAGAAACACCUCCUAAAGUGAGGGAAAGAAGCGGAGAGAAGCGAGCCGGGAAGGCAACGGGCAGUGCAUCCUGAUGCCUUUAAGUCACUAGAUGAAGUUCAUUUCUCCUUGUCGGAACAAGGCUGGACUCUUUGCAUUUUCAUGGUAAAUUUGUUUACCGAGCCGUUGUUGAAAUUCUGGAAGCAGAGAAAAUGCAUUUGCUCCAUAACCUUUCCGGAUCUGACAAGUCCUAUAAAAUCUAUUAAAGCCUUUAAUGAAAUCCCCGCUCAGAGCCAGCUCCCAUGAAUGAAUGUGGAAUCGGAAUUUAAAUUAAAAUGUUGUUUUUGUAGUCUGUGGGCUUUAGCCUUGGCAGAAAUUAAAGGGGCAGUUCACGUUUGGCGGUGUGCAGCCUUCUCCCUUUAGUUUCGAGCCCUCACGAGCCGCCUCUCCGUGCCGAGGGUGGGUGUUUGGAUCUC